AUGGAACUUUGGGUGAGGAGGUGGUGAACGCAGGUCAUUGUCCAGGAGGCCGUAUGCUUCGAGUUUCUGUGUAGCAGUACUUGUGUGUUAUCACCCACACACGGUUACCAUGACUACCUUGGUAGAGGGCGCUCGAGUCUUUGGGACAUGGACAUUUGCAGGCUAAAGACUUCACACUUGUCUGUCACUACUGACGCUCCCAUGUACCUCCACCACCUGCUCAGAUCCAGGUCCUUUGUUCCUAUCAAGAACUCGAAUGCGAACCGCUUCUUCCAAGUCACCUGGUCCAGACAAACAUCCAUUUUCACCUACAUGGAACCUUCCACUGGCCCGAGGACAAAUACAUCAUAUUUCCAGUUGUCCCAGGAUAAUUCAGCUUUAAAAAAAAAAUGGCAGGGGAAGAUGGCAACAUGAAGG
rnacentral:lncRNA from 1 species